rnacentral:misc_RNA from 1 species
AAGUCGUAACAAGGUUUCCGUAGGUGAACCUGCGGAAGGAUCAUUAACACGUAUCCAACGUAAAAAACCCCCCUGUGAACAUUCAAACCUGCUCUCGUAGCCCAGUGCGAUCCAGCAAUCCCGGUAAAUCAUUGUCGAACAGCUUUUGAUUCGGGACUUCUGACAAAUGAGAAGUUACAGUUACGAUUGAGCGGAGAUAGCUGCAUGGCAUCCGAAGCAGUCAGUGUCUGAAAGCGUCAUUGAUUGUCUAAGGAUCUCGCCUCAACGAUUGCUAGAGGUCGCUCACCGACCGGCAGACAUGCAACCGGGUCCCCACGCCCCUUUACAACCCGAAUACCUCUGUGAGUCUAGGCGGACGCACUAGGCUAAAAAAACCUCGAACAACUGUUAACAAUGGAUAUCUUGGUUCUC